GUGAAAAAAUGUCAUAGUAUAGUAAGGCGUCAAAAAAUGUGAAAAAACGUCAUAGUAUAGUAAGGUGUGAAAAAAUGUCAUAGUAUAGUAAGGUGUCAAAAAAUGUGAAAAAAUGUCAUAGUAUAGUAAGGCGUCAAAAAAUGUGAAAAAAUGUCAUAGUAUGGUAAGGUUUCAAAAAAUGUGAAAAAAUGUCAUAGUAUAGUAACGCGUCAAAAAAUGUCAUAGUAUGGUAAGGUGUCAAAAAAUGUGAAAAAAUGUCAUAGUAUAGUAAGGCGUCAAAAAAUGUCAUAGUAUAGUAAGGUGUCAAAAAAUGUGAAAAAACGUCAUAGUAUGGUAAGGUGUCAAAAAAUGUGAAAAAAUGUCAUAGUAUAGUAAGGUGUCAAAAAAUGUGAAAAAAUGUCAUAGUAUAGUAAGGUGUCAAAAAAUGUGAAAAAAUGUCAUAGUAUAGUAAGGCGUCAAAAAAUGUGAAAAAACGUCAUAGUAUAGUAAGGUGUCAAAAAAUGUCAUAGUAUAGUAAGGUGUCAAAAAAUGUGAAAAAAUGUCAUAGUAUAGUAAGGUGUCAAAAAAUGUGAAAAAAUGUCAUAGUAUAGUAAGGUGUCAAAAAAUGUGAAAAAAUGUCAUAGUAUAGUAAGGUGUCAAAAAAUGUGAAAAAAUGUCAUAGUAUAGUAAG